rnacentral:rRNA from 1 species
AUAUUAAUAAGCGGAGGAAGAGAAACUAACGAGGAUUCCCUCAGUAACGGCGAGUGAAGUGGGAACAGCCCAACCCCGAAUCGCUUCGGCGAGUUGUAGGGUGUAGUCAGCUCAUUUCGAUUGUUUCUUGCAUCCAAGUCCCUUGGAACAGGGCACCAUAGAGGGUGAAAGUCCCGUUCGAUGCUUCGUUUCAAUCUCCUUUGUGCUUGACUCUGAGUAGUGAUGUUUGGGAGUACAUCACUAAUUGGGUGGUAAACUCCAUCCAAGGCUAAAUAUUUGACGAGAGACCGAUAGCGCACAAGUA